AUUGAACGCUGGCGGCAUGCCUUACACAUGCAAGUCGAACGGUAACGGGCCUUCGGGUGCCGACGAGUGGCGAACGGGUGAGUAAUGCAUCGGAACGUACCUUUCAGUGGGGGAUAACGUAGCGAAAGUUACGCUAAUACCGCAUAUUCUGUGCGCAGGAAGGCAGGGGAUCGCAAGACCUUGCGCUGAUUGAGCGGCCGAUGUCAGAUUAGCUAGUUGGGGGGGUAAAGGCUCACCAAGGCGACGAUCUGUAGCGGGUCUGAGAGGAUGAUCCGCCACACUGGAACUGAGACACGGUCCAGACUCCUACGGGAGGCAGCAGUGGGGAAUUUUGGACAAUGGGGGCAACCCUGAUCCAGCCAUGCCGCGUGAGUGAAGAAGGCCUUCGGGUUGUAAAGCUCUUUCGGCCGGGAAGAAAUCGCAUGGGUUAAUACCCUGUGCGGGUGACGGUACCGGCAUAAGAAGCACCGGCUAACUACGUGCCAGCAGCCGCCGUAAGAC
rnacentral:rRNA from 1 species